UAGGUCAUUGAGAAAGAGUACAACUGCUGC
rnacentral:piRNA from 1 species